rfam:Trichobilharzia regenti genome assembly, scaffold: TRE_scaffold0029238
UUACUGAUGAAGAGUCCCAAACUAGGACGAAACAGUUGUCCAGUAC